rnacentral:rRNA from 1 species
CCUACGGGUGGCAGCAGUAGGGAAUCUUCGGCAAUGGACGAAAGUCUGACCGAGCAACGCCGCGUGAGUGAAGAAGGUUUUCGGAUCGUAAAACUCUGUUGGUAGAGAAGAACGUUGGUGAGAGUGGAAAGCUCAUCAAGUGACGGUAACUACCCAGAAAGGGACGGCUAACUACGUGCCAGCAGCCGCGGUAAUACGUAGGUCCCGAGCGUUGUCCGGAUUUAUUGGGCGUAAAGCGAGCGCAGGUGGUUUAUUAAGUCUGGUGUAAAAGGCAGUGGCUCAACCAUUGUAUGCAUUGGAAACUGGUAGACUUGAGUGCAGGAGAGGAGAGUGGAAUUCCAUGUGUAGCGGUGAAAUGCGUAGAUAUAUGGAGGAACACCGGUGGCGAAAGCGGCUCUCUGGCCUGUAACUGACACUGAGGCUCGAAAGCGUGGGGAGCAAACAGGAUUAGAUACCCCAGUAGUC